rnacentral:rRNA from 1 species
CGACGUGAGGAACCUGCCUUCCAGAGGGGGACAACAGUUGGAAACGACUGCUAAUACCGCAUGACGCAUCGAAGUCGCAUGGCUUUGAUGCCAAAGAUUUAUCGCUGGAAGAUGGCCUCGCGUCUGAUUAGCUAGUUGGUGAGGUAACGGCCCACCAAGGCGACGAUCAGUAGCCGGACUGAGAGGUUGGCCGGCCACAUUGGGACUGAGACACGGCCCAAACUCCUACGGAAGGCAGCAG